rnacentral:tRNA from 2 species
GGGAGCAUAACUUAGUGGUAGAGUGUGUGCCUUACAAGCACGAAGUCGGGAGUUCGAUCCUCUCUGCCCCCA